rnacentral:rRNA from 1 species
UACGUAGGGUCCAAGCGAUAUCCGGAAUUACUGGGCGUAAAGCGUGUGUAGGUGGAUUAAUAAGUGUGAUGCGAAAUUCGACGGCUCAACCGUCUGAACUGUGUCGCAUACUGUUAGUCUAGAGGACGGCAGAGGCAAGUGGAAUUACGGGUGUAGCAGUGAAAUGCGUAGAGAUCCGUAGGAACACCAAUGGCGAAGGCAGCUUGCUGGGCCACCCCUGACACUGAGACACGAAAGCGUGGGGAGCGAACAGG